rnacentral:rRNA from 1 species
AGUGAACGCUGGCGGUAGGCCUAACACAUGCAAGUCGAACGGCAGCACAGUAAGAGCUUGCUCUUACGGGUGGCGAGUGGCGGACGGGUGAGGACUACAUCGGAAUCUACUUUUUCGUGGGGGAUAACGUAGGGAAACUUACGCUAAUACCGCAUACGACCUACGGGUGAAAGCAGGGGAUCUUCGGACCUUGCGCGAUUGAAUGAGCCGAUGUCGGAUUAGCUAGUUGGCGGGGUAAAGGCCCACCAAGGCGACGAUCCGUAGCUGGUCUGAGAGGAUGAUCAGCCACACUGGAACUGAGACACGGUCCAGACUCCUACGGGAGGCAGCAGUGGGGAAUAUUGGACAAAGGGCGCAAGCCUGAUCCAGCCAUACCGCGUGGGUGAAGAAGGCCUUCGGGUUGUAAAGCCCUUUUGUUGGGAAAGAAAAGUAGCAGGUUAAUACCCCGCUGUUCUGACGGUACCCAAAGAAUAAGCACCGGCUAACUUCGUG